UUUCAAUGAAGAGUUUGAUCCUGGCUCAGAGCGAACGCUGGCGGCGCGCCUAACACAUGCAAGUCGAGCGCAGGCAUCUUGGGGGUAACCCCGGGAUGUGCUGAGCGGCGGACGGGUGA
rnacentral:rRNA from 1 species